rnacentral:rRNA from 1 species
CCUACGGGGGGCAGCAGUAGGGAAUCUUCCACAAUGGGCGAAAGCCUGAUGGAGCAACGCCGCGUGAGUGAAGAAGGUCUUCGGAUCGUAAAACCCUGUUGUUAGAGAAGAAAGUGCGUGCGUGUAUCUGUUCACGUUUCGACGGUAUCUACCCAGAAAGCCCCGGCUAACUACGUGCCAGCAGCCGCGGUAAUACGUAGGUGGCAAGCGUUAUCCGGAUUUAUUGGGCGUAAAGGGAACGCAGGCGGUCUUUUAAGUCUGAUGUGAAAGCCUUCGGCUUAACCGGGGUAGUGCAUUUGAAACUGGGAGGCUUGAGUGCAGAAGAGGAGAGUGGAACUCCAUGUGUAGCGGUGAAAUGCGUAGAUAUAUGGAAGAACACCAGUGGCGAAGGCAGCUCUCUGGGCUGUAACUGACGCUGAGGUUCGAAAGCGUGGGUAGCAAACAGGAUUAGAUACCCUUGUAGUC